GAGAGCAAUGCAUGUCAAUGAUCCUGCUGUUGUUACACCAUUUGGUAUGCACGUAAACACAGAGUCCCCAUCCUCUGCUCUUACCCGAGUCCCUGUUUCGAUGUAGCCGGUGUAGCGUGCGGUCCGUCAGCUGAACUGCGGCGUCCGGAAUCAGCGGAUGAAGCCACGUCUCCAUGAUGGAGAUAAUGCUGCAGUUCCUCACAAAGUAGUUUGUAGCCAACUGUAACUCCAACUCGUCCAUUUGUGAGGAAGACACUUGGUAGCGAUGGUCUGUGAGGAUGCUUCCUCAGUCUAGCAUCAUGGCCCGACCGGCAUCCUCGUUUCUGCUUCCUUUCUCUAAGCCGUCUUCGUCGCUUCGUAGCUGAACACUGACAUCUAU